rnacentral:rRNA from 1 species
GACGAACGCUGGCGGCGUGCUUAACACAUGCAAGUCGAGCGCUGAAGCCCAGCUUGCUGGGUGGAUGAGUGGCGAACGGGUGAGUAACACGUGAGUAACCUGCCCCCUUCUUUGGGAUAACGCCCGGAAACGGGUGCUAAUACUGGAUAUUCACUGGCCUUCGCAUGGGGGUUGGUGGAAAGGUUUUUCUGGUGGGGGAUGGGCUCGCGGCCUAUCAGCUUGUUGGUGGGGUGAUGGCCUACCAAGGCUUUGACGGGUAGCCGGCCUGAGAGGGUGACCGGUCACAUUGGGACUGAGAUACGGCCCAGACUCCUACGGGAGGCAGCAGUGGGGAAUAUUGCACAAUGGGCGAAAGCCUGAUGCAGCGACGCCGCGUGAGGGAUGACGGCCUUCGGGUUGUAAACCUCUUUCGCUCAUGGUCAAGCCGCAGCUUUGGGUUGUGGUGAGGGUAGUGGGUAAAGAAGCGCCGGCUAACUACGUGCCAGCAGCCGCGGUAAUACGUAGGGCGCGAGCGUUGUCCGGAAUUAUUGGGCGUAAAGGGCUUGUAGGCGGUUGGUCGCGUCUGCCGUGAAAUCCUCUGGCUUAACUGGGGGCGUGCGGUGGGUACGGGCUGACUUGAGUGCGGUAGGGGAGACUGGAACCCCUGGUGUAGCGGUGGAAUGCGCAGAUAUCAGGAAGAACACCGGUGGCGAAGGCGGGUCUCUGGGCCGUUACUGACGCUGAGGAGCGAAAGCGUGGGGAGCGAACAGG